rnacentral:rRNA from 1 species
UACGUAGGGGGCAAGCGUUGUCCGGAAUCAUUGGGCGUAAAGCGCGUGUAGGCGGCUCGGUAAGUCCGCUCUGAAAGCCCGGGGCUCAACCCCGGGAGGCGGGUGGAUACUGCUGAGCUCGAGUCCGGAAGAGGAGUGUGGAAUUCCCUGGUGUAGCGGUGAAAUGCGCAGAUAUCAGGAGGAACACCAAUGGCGAAGGCAGCACUCUGGGACGGUACUGACGCUGAGACGCGAAAGCGUGGGGAGCAAACAGG